rnacentral:rRNA from 1 species
GACGAACGCUGGCGGCGUGCCUAACACAUGCAAGUUGAGCGACGAACCAGGGCUUGCCCUGGGGCAAAGCAGCGAACGGGUGAGUAACACGUGGGUAACCUGCCCCGAUUACCGGGACAACCCGAGGAAACUCGGGCUAAUACCGGAUGUGCUCGUCAGACCCAAGUCUGACGCGUAAAGGAAGCUUCGGCCUCCGAAUUGGGAGGGGCCCGUGGCCCAUUAGCUAGUUGGUGAGGUAACGGCUCACCAAGGCAUCGAUGGGUGGCUGGUCUGAGAGGACGAUCAGCCACACUGGGACUGAGACACGGCCCAGACUCCUACGGGAGGCAGCAGUGGGGAAUCUUGCGCAAUGCGCGAAAGCGUGACGCAGCAACGCCGCGUGGGGGAAGACGGCCU